rnacentral:rRNA from 1 species
CGUGUGUGAAGAAGCUAUGGUGUAAGCACUAAAGCACGAGGAUGUACUGAUAUAUACCUACAGAUAGUGGACGUUACUCGCAGAAUAAGCACCGGCUAACUCUGUGCCAGCAGCCGCGGUAAUACAGAGGGUGCAAGCGUUAAUCGGAUUUACUGGGCGUAAAGCGCGCGUAGGCGGCUAAUUAAGUCAAAUGUGAAAUCCCCGAGCUUAACUUGGGAAUUGCAUUCGAUACUGGUUAGCUAGAGUGUGGGAGAGGAUGGUAGAAUUCCAGGUGUAGCGGUGAAAUGCGUAGAGAUCUGGAGGAAUACCGAUGGCGAAGGCAGCCAUCUGGCCUAACACUGACGCUGAGGUGCGAAAGCAUGGGGAGCAAACAGGAUUAGAUACCCUGGUAGUCCAUGCCGUAAACGAUGUCUACUAGCCGUUGGGGCCUUUGAGGCUUUAGUGGCGCAGCUAACGCGAUAAGUAGACCGCCUGGGGAGUACGGUCGCAAGACUAAAACUCAAAUGAAUUGACGGGGGCCCGCACAAGCGGUGGAGCAUGUGGUUUAAUUCGAUGCAACGCGAAGAACCUUACCCUGGCCUUGACAUAGUAAGAACUUUCCAGAGAUGGAUUGGUGCCUUCGGGAACUUCAUACAGGUGCUGCAUGGCUGUCGACAGCUCGUGUCGUGAGAUGU